CGAGCCCACCCAGGGACGGCGUC
rnacentral:piRNA from 1 species